UGUUCUGUGGCUUAGUUGGUUAAAGCGCCGGUAUAGUGAAUACGGAGUUGUGGUUUCGAAUCCCACCAGAACAU
rnacentral:tRNA from 1 species